AUUGAACGCUGGCGGCAGGCCUAACACAUGCAAGUCGGACGGUAGCACAGAGGAGCUUGCUCCUCGGGUGACGAGUGGCGGACGGGUGAGUAAUGUCUGGGAAACUGCCUGAUGGAGGGGGAUAACUACUGGAAACGGUAGCUAAUACCGCAUAACGUCGCAAGACCAAAGAGGGGGACCUUCGGGCCUCUUGCCAUCAGAUGUUCCCAGAUGGGAUUAGCUAGUCGGUGGGGUAACGGCUCACCUAGGCGACGAUCCCUAGCUGGUCUGAGAGGAUGACCAGCCACACUGGAACUGAGACACGGUCCAGACUCCUACGGGAGGCAGCAGUGGGGAAUAUUGCACAAUGGGCGCAAGCCUGAUGCAGCCAUGCCGCGUGUAUGAAGAAGGCCUUCGGGUUGUAAAGUACUUUCAGCGGGGAGGAAGGUGUUGUGGUUAAUAACCACAGCAAUUGACGUUACCCGCAGAAGAAGCACCGGCUAACUCCGUGCCAGCCGCCGCAGUAA
rnacentral:rRNA from 1 species